rfam:Bdellovibrio exovorus JSS, complete genome.
UUUAAAGCUACUAAGGGUAUAUGGUGGAUGCCUUGGCACUUAAAGGCGAUGAAGGACGUGGUAAGCUGCGAUAAGCUUCGGGGAAUGGCACACACAUUUCGAUCCGGAGAUUUCCGAAUGGGGAAACCCACCUUAACUGGUAUUUUACAGCCAAUUCAUAACUGUAAAAAGCAAACGAUGGGAAGUGAAACAUCUCAGUACCAUCUGGAAAGUAAAUCAAACGAGAUUUCCCUAGUAGUGGCGAGCGAACGGGAAACAGGCCAAACUCAGUUCAUUUUUGAAUUGAGGGUUGUAGGACCUCGAUGUGGGACUUGAAUUUGUUAGGAGAACAGACUGGAAAGUCUGGCGACACAGGGUGAUAGCCCCGUAUCCGAAAACAAAUUCGGCCCUAGAGGUAUCCUGAGUACCAACGGACACGUGAAAUCCGCUGGGAAUCUGGGGGGACCACCCUCCAAGCCUAAAUACUAAUAAGUGACCGAUAGAGGACAAGUACCGUGAGGGAAAGGUGAAAAGAACCCCGAGAGGGGAGUGAAAUAGAACCUGAAACCGUAUAUCUACAAGCAGUAGAAGCGCUUUAUAUGCGCGACUGCGUACCUUUUGCAUAAUGAGUCAGCGAGUUAUUUUUGCAGGCAAGGUUAAGCCGUUGCAGGUGGAGCCGGAGCGAAAGCGAGUCUGAAUAGGGCGAUUUAGUCUGCAGGAAUAGACCCGAAACCCAGUGAUCUAAUCAUGGCCAGGCUGAAGCGAGGGUAACACCUCGUGGAGGGCCGAACUAGUUGGUGUUGAAAAACCUUUGGAUGAGCUGUGAUUAGGGGUGAAAGGCCAAUCAAACUGGGUGAUAGCUGGUUCUCCCCGAAAUAUAUUUAGGUAUAGCUUCAGGUAAAUUGUAUCACGGAGGUAGAGCACUGAAUGGGCUAGGGGUCUUUACCAGAUUACCAAACCCAAAUAAACUCCGAAUGCCGUUGAUAUGUACCCUGGAAGGCAGACAUAGGGUGAUAAGGUCAUAUGUCGAGAGGGAAAGAGCCCAGACCGCCGACUAAGGUCCCUAAAUACAUGCUAAGUGGAAAACGUUGUAGAGUUACUGUGACAACUAGGAGGUUGGCUUAGAAGCAGCAAUCCUUUAAAGAAAGCGUAAUAGCUCACUAGUCUAGUGACUCCGCGCGGAAGAUAUAACGGGGCUAAGCAUGUUACCGAAGUCGCGGAUUUAAUAUUUAUAUUAAGUGGUAGGGGAGCGUUCGAGUGUAGGCUGAAGGUUGACCGUGAGGACAGCUGGACGAACUCGAAGUGAUCAUGCUGACAUAAGUAGCGUUUAACUCGGGUGAAAAACCCGGGCGCCGAAAACUCAAGGGUUCCUGGGCAAGGAUAAUCCUCCCAGGGUUAGUCGAGACCUAAGACGAGGCCAAUUGGCGUAGUCGAUGGAUAUCCGGUUAAUAUUCCGGAACUGUUACAUGAUUGGUAUAGCAAUGACAGAGUAGGUAGAGUCAGCCUCUUAUUGGAUUGAGGUGUAAGCGUGUAGGAGGUCAUAUAGUUAAGUACGUAUGGCAACUCUGAGACGUGAAUGCGAGGGAUUUAUCCCGGAAGUGACUGGAGCCAUGCUUUCAAGAAAAGUUGCGAUAUUUUAAGGUAAUACUCGUACCGUAAACCGACUCAGGUGAGUGGGAUGAAUAAUCUAAGGCGAUGAGGUGAAUCUUGGUUAAGGAACUCGGCAACUUAACACCGUAACUUCGGGAAAAGGUGUGCCUAAGACUGUGUAAGCAUUUACUGCUGAAGCAAUUUUGGGUCGCAGAGAGUUGGGAGUAGCGACUGUUUAUCAAAAACACAGGCAUGUGCAAAGUCACAAGACGAAGUAUACAUGCUGACGCCUGCCCGGUGCUGGAAGGUUAAGAGGAUUUGUCAGCGCAAGCGAAGCAGAGAAUCGAAGCCCCAGUAAACGGCGGCCGUAACUAUAACGGUCCUAAGGUAGCGAAAUUCCUUGUCGGGUAAGUUCCGACCUGCACGAAUGGCGUAACGACUUCUCCGGUGUCUCAACCAAGGGCCUCGCGAAAUUGAAUUCUCGGUGAAAAUGCCGGGUACCCGCAGAAAGACGGAAAGACCCCGUGAACCUUUACUGUAGCUUGGCAGUGAUUUUAGAGUUUGCAUGUGUAGGAUAGGUGGGAGCCUUUGAAGCCAGGUCGCUAGACUUGGUGGAGGCAACCUUGAAAUACCACCCUUGGAAACUUUGAAAUCUAACCUGCUCCUCUUAACGAGGAGAGGGACACUGUCUGGUGGGCAGUUUGACUGGGGCGGUCGCCUCCCAAAAAGUAACGGAGGCGCGCGAUGGUCCCCUCAGCCUGAUUGGAAACCAGGCGUCGAGUGCAUUGGCAUAAGGGGGCUUGACUGCGAGACCUACAAGUCGAGCAGGUGCGAAAGCAGGCCAAAGUGAUCCGGUGGUCCCGCGUGGAAGGGCCAUCGCUCAACGGAUAAAAGGUACUCCGGGGAUAACAGGCUUAUUCCAUCCAAGAGUCCAUAUCGACGAUGGAGUUUGGCACCUCGAUGUCGGCUCAUCACAUCCUGGGGCUGGAGCAGGUCCCAAGGGUUUAGCUGUUCGCUAAUUAAAGUGGUACGCGAGCUGGGUUCAGAACGUCGUGAGACAGUUUGGUCCUUAUCUUCUGUGGGCGUAAGAAAUUUGAGCAGACCUGUCCUUAGUACGAGAGGACCGGGAUGGACGAACCUCUGGUGUUCCAGUUGUCGCGCCAGCGGCAAUGCUGGGUAGCUAUGUUCGGAAUAGAUAACCGCUGAAAGCAUCUAAGCGGGAAGCUAACUGCAAGAUUAGAUUUCUCUGGGGCUUCGGCCCCCUAAAGACUCCUCGGAGACUACGAGGUUGAUAGGCAUAAAGUGUUCGUACAGCAAUGUAUUUAGCUUAUAUGUACUAAUAGGUCGUGAGGCUUUUUUAA